AUACGGAGGAUCCGAGCGUUAUCCGGAUUUAUUGGGUUUAAAGGGUGCGCAGGCGGCCAUUUAAGUCAGCGGUUAAAUCGUGGGGCUCAACCCCAUUCUGCCGUUGAUACUGGGUGGCUUGAUUGCGGUCGAGGUUGGCGGAAUUCGUUGUGUAGCGGUGAAAUGCAUAGAUAUGACGAAGAACACCGAUUGCGUAGGCAGCUGACCAGACCGCAAAUGACGCUCAUGCACGAAAGUGCGGGGAUCGAACAGGAUUAGAUACCCUGGUAGUCCGCACAGUAAACGAUGAAUACUUGUUUUCGGCGAUAUAAUGUCGGAGGCAAAGCGAAAGCGAUAAGUAUUCCACCUGGGGAGUACGCCGGCAACGGUGAAACUUAAAGGAAU
rnacentral:rRNA from 1 species